rnacentral:lncRNA from 1 species
CUUCUGCUCAGCCUGCUCAACCUGACGGUGAUGAAAACUGAAGCCCUUGAUGAUGAUCCACUUCCGCUUAAUGAAUAGCACUGUAGAAGUCUCGCAUAUAUGAUCAUUUAAAAUUUCGCUGAAGUCAUGUCUGAAUUCUGCACACUGCCUUAUGGAUGUGGGAGAGGUGACUAAACUGAGUCAACGCAGUCAACCACCCAGGACUUGCAAUUCCAGGGGGUUGCAUCCACCUAACCCUCCGGGGUUCUGGCUUCGGAUAGUGUUUGAUCAAUGGAAGCAACAAAAGAAGAUUGGAGGACAUGAAGACAGGUUACUGGAUGAUAUUCGACAUGAGCUGCAAUCCUCCAUCUGAGGUCCCAACUUUUCCAGAAGGCUUCUGUCCUGUUGCGCUCAUUGGAUUCUGCAUUAUGGGAUUCUCUUGAAGUGUGUGAAGAAUAAUGAGCUAAAUAAAGAGGAAAAACAAAAGAAAACAAAAACUGCAGGGACUUUUAUAACUAUCAUUGAUUGCCAGCUUAAGCCUGCUGGACUCUUCACAAAACUAUAUAUGCUUCAAGCUUAAUAUUUAAUUUUGUAAUUGGAACAUUUAUAAUCAUAUUAUGCAUUUAAUAAGGAUGC